rnacentral:rRNA from 1 species
AGGGCGCAUCAUCGACCGAUCCUGAUGUCUUCGGAUGGAUUUGAGUAMGAGCAUAGCUGUUGKGACCCGAAAGAUGGUGAACUAUGCCUGAAUAGGGUGAAGCCAGAGGAAACUCUGGUGGAGGCUCGCAGCGGUUCUGACGUGCAAAUCGAUCGUCAAAUUUGGGUAUAGGGCGAAAGAC